GUGCUGAAUUAUUCGCCAAUGCGCGAAAGCGUGACGGUGCGACGCCGCGUGCGGGACGAAGGCCUUCGGGUUGUAAACCGCUGUCAAGGUAUAGAAAACCGUCGGAGUUAAUAGCUCCGGCGCUGAUCCUACCUAAAGGAAGCACAGGCUAACCUCGUGCCAGCAGCCGCGGUAAUACGAGGUGUGCGAGCGUUGUUCGGAAUCACUGGGCAUCAAGGGUGCGUAGGCGGUGCGCCAAGUCGGGUGUGAAAUCCCUUCGCUUAACGGAGGAACUGCAUUCGAUACUAGCGGGCUAGAGGGUAAAAGGGGCAAGCGGAAUGCUAGGUGUAGCGGUGGAAUGCGUAGAUAUCUGGGAGAACGCCGAGGGCGAAGGCAGCUUGCUGGGUUACUUCUGACGCUGAGGCACGAAAGCUAGGGGAGCAAACAGGAUUAGAAACCCCGGUAGUCC
rnacentral:rRNA from 1 species